rnacentral:rRNA from 1 species
UGAAUACGAGAUGCUACGGCGUCGAAGCAGUGUAUGUCAGACUUCCAAGAAAAGCUCGCAAUGUCAUAAAUAAAGAAUGCCUGUACCAUAACCGACACAGGUGGGUAGGUAGAGUAUACUAAGGGGCGCGAGAUAACUCUCUCUAAGGAACUCGGCAAAAUAACUCCGUAACUUCGGGAGAAGGAGUGCCUUCUUGAAGAAGGUUGCAAUAACAAGAUCCAAGCAACUGUUUAUCAAAAACACAGGUCUCCGCUAAGUCGAAAGACGAUGUAUGGGGGCUGACGCCUGCCCAGUGCCAGAAGGUUAAAGAAGCUGGUUAGCAAUAGCGAAGCUGGUGACUGAAGCCCUGGUGAACGGCGGCCGUAACAAUAACGGUCCUAAGGUAGCGAAAUUCCUUGUCGGGUAAGUUCCGACCCGCACGAAAGGCGUAAUGAUUUGGAUACUGUCUCGGAGAGGGACUCGGUGAAAUAGACUUGUCUGUGAAGAUGCGGACUACCUGCACCAGGACAGAAAGACCCUAUGAAGCUUUACUGUAACUUGAAAUUGAAAUUGGACUUUAUUUGCGCAGUAUAGGUGGAAGGCGUUGAGAUUACUCUUGCGGGAUUAGUGGAGCCAUCAGUGAGAUACCACUCCUAUAAUGUUAGAUUUCUAACUUUGGAUCAUAAUCUGGUCAAAGAACAGUUUCAGGCGGGCAGUUUGACUGGGGCGGUCGCCUCCCAAAUGGUAACGGAGGCGUACAAAGGUUUCCUCUGAACGGGUAGAAAUCGUAUCUAGAGUGUAAGGGCAUAAGGAAGCUUGACUGUGAGACCUACAAGUCGAGCAGGGACGAAAGUCGGUCUUAGUGAUCUGACGGUGCUGAGUGGAAAGGCCGUCACUCAACGGAUAAAAGUUACUCUAAGGAUAACAGGCUGAUCUCCCCCAAGAGUUCACAUCGACGGGGAGGUUUGGCACCUCGAUGUCGGCUCAUCGCAUCCUGGGGCGGUAGUACGUCCCAAGGGUUGGGCUGUUCGCCCAUGAAAGCGGUACGCGAGCUGGGUUCAGAACGUCGUGAGACAGUUCGGUCCAUAUCCGGUGUAGGCGUUAGAAUAUUGAGAGGAGCCUUCUUUAGUACGAGAGGACCGAGAAGGACAUACCUCUGGUGUACCAGUUAUCGUGCCAACGGUAAACGCUGGGUAGCUAUGUAUGGAGAGGAUAACCGCUGAAAGCAUCUAAGUGGGAAGCCCACCUCAAGAUGAGUAUUCUCAU